rnacentral:tRNA from 1 species
GCGGGCGUAGCUCAGCCCGGAGAGAGCACCAGGUUGUGGCCCUGGGGGUCGUGGGUUCAAAUCCCAUCGCCCGCC